UUGCCUCUACGGUAUGCGGCAGCGAGCAGUUAUUUUUGAACCGAUACUUAGAGACUAGGGGAUUGUAUAGUAUUGAUGUGUGCAUGUCCUUCACUGGAAAGCCUAACCCAAUGCCGAUUUCCCCACCUGAACCUGUGGGUUCAGAAUAGUUUUUCGCACCGCUAUUGUGGAGGCACU
rnacentral:other from 1 species